rnacentral:rRNA from 1 species
ACGUAUGGUGCAAGCGUUAUCCGGAUUUACUGGGUGUAAAGGGAGCGUAGACGGAGUGGCAAGUCUGAUGUGAAAACCCGGGGCUCAACCCCGGGACUGCAUUGGAAACUGUCAAUCUGGAGUACCGGAGAGGUAAGCGGAAUUCCUAGUGUAGCGGUGAAAUGCGUAGAUAUUAGGAGGAACACCAGUGGCGAAGGCGGCUUACUGGACGGUAACUGACGUUGAGGCUCGAAAGCGUGGGGAGCAAACAG